ACAGAGGGUGCAAACGUUGUUCGGAAUUACUGGGCGUAAAGCGCAUGUAGGCGGCCAAGCAAGUCGGGUGUGAAAGCCCAGGGCUCAACCCUGGAAGUGCACUCGAAACUGCUCGGCUGGAGUCUCGGAGAGGAUCGCGGAAUUCUGGGUGUAGAGGUGAAAUUCGUAGAUAUCCAGAGGAACACCAGUGGCGAAGGCGGCGAUCUGGACGAGUACUGACGCUGAGAUGCGAAAGCGUGGGGAGCAAACAGGA
rnacentral:rRNA from 1 species